UACGUAGGGGGCAAGCGUUGUCCGGAAUUACUGGGCGUAAAGAGCGCGUAGGCGGCUUGGUGGGUUCGCUGUGAAAACUCGAGGCUCAACCUCGAGAUGUCGGCGGAAACCACUUGGCUAGAGUCCGGAAGAGGAGAGUGGAAUUCCUGGUGUAGCGGUGAAAUGCGCAGAUAUCAGGAAGAACACCUAUGGCGAAGGCAGCUCUCUGGGACGGUACUGACGCUGAGACGCGAAAGCGUGGGGAGCGAACAGG
rnacentral:rRNA from 1 species